rnacentral:rRNA from 1 species
AUGGAUUAGUGGCGAACGGGUGAGGAACACGUGAGAAACCUGCCUUUCAUUCUGGGAUAACACCGGGAAACCGGUGCUAAUACCGGAUACUCCAUCUUGGCGGCAUCGCCGAGCUGGGAAAAAAUUUUGAUGAAAGAUGGUCUCGCGGCCUAUCAGCUAGUUGGCGGGGUAAUGGCCCACCAAGGCAACGACGGGUAGCUGGUCUGAGAGGGCGACCGGCCACACUGGGACUGAGACACGGCCCAGACUCC